CCAGAUGGCCACGACAUGGUCCUUUAGCCCUGCUUCACUGGGGCGUGGUCUUUCAGCGUCGAGCAGCCUCAGCUGGGAGGCAUUGAGGGGCGCGUGGCUCUGGUGUUGCGCGUCGGCGGCGGCAGCCGGCAUCGGCAGUAAGCUCGUGGUUUUUGCCCCCCUCCCUGUCUUCCCCUUUGACUCUGUCAUACUCUAAACCGUCUGCCACAUGGACACCAACAAACAGGCAGCAGUGCCUCGAGGAAGCAACAGUUACAGACGGCCAUUCGAGUUCCUCUACAAGCAGUAGUUGGACGACAGUUAAUUGGUGCUCUCCCCAUCCCCCAUUGUUGCAGUUCUUCAGCAACAGCUAGUUGUCGGCCGUGUGGCAGUUAGUAGUAUUUGGUCGUGGGGCAGUUAGAGAACAAUAGUUAGCUGUGGUAAAUCAAAACGAUAACUGAUGUAUUGACCUUGUUAACUUCACAAUUUGGCCCCCGUUCUCUCUUCAGUCAAAUUUAUUUUAGUGACUUCUGUUAGCUUGCUGAUUUUCAUCCGUUGGUGCGUUGAAAACAAAAGAAGUUAACUUUUUUUGCUUUUGUAACAGUUAACUAUGGAAUUUGCAUAUGUUAUUAAAAACUAGAAAAGUUAACCCAUCGGUCUGCUGUUGUCACCACGGUGUUGGUGCCACACAAUCUGAUGCUCUUGCUGCUAAAAACAAAUGCAGUUAACUUCAGUUAAUCUGAUGCUCUUGCAGAAGCGCCGGCAAGGACGUCUCAUCAUCGAUGAUGCUGUCCAUUGCCAGAGUAAACCGGGUUUGUCGGACGCAGGCUCGUGCAGAAGCUUCUAUCAGGUAACUACGCACCGCCACCAAGGCCAAGGCCGCCUCUCUUUUCCCUGGUAAUUAAGCAUUCAAAUGCUAAGUACACCAGACACGAUUCAUAUAUACUGCUGUGUUAUACAUGUAUGUAAUGGAGGUGUACUCCAGAAAACACUACUAUGAGAUUAGUUAAAUUCAGUUGAACAUGAAGAACUUGAAAGCCCCUCUAUUCUCUAACUAAAUUAAGUUGAGACGAGGAACCAUUUUUACUUGCUGCUCAUCAAAAAAAGGCGUGUGUCUCUCUUUCUUCGGUCCACUCUUUUAGUGCUUCAGUUAGAUUCAGAAGUUAUGCAUUGACAAAAGAAAGUUAAAAAUGUUGGUUUCUAUAGCAGUUAGUAUUUUGUAGAAAGUUAAAAACAUGAAAAAGUUGGCUAAAUAAACCAGACAGUUAACUUAAGAAUUUCAAGCAGUUAAAACUUGAAUUUGCAACAGUUAAAACCUAAAGUUAUUGUCCUUUUCCCCCUGAAGGAUCACAACAACACUGAAUACAGGUAACUUGUUCUCAUAUGGGGUGAAAACUAGUUUGUUCUUCUCAAUAAAAAGCUUAGGGAACCUGAAUGUAAGCCAUCCCUCUUGUGCUCAACUCCUACAAAAAUUGUGGUAGUUACCUGUAGGUCACUUGCAGUUAGCUAGCAGCAUGGCUCCCGUUUAAUUGGAUGUUAACAAGCAGUUUUUUUUAUAUGCAGCGGGUAGCAACUAGCAAGCAGUUAAUUGGAGUUUAACAAGCAACCGUUAUCCAAUAGUUUCAUUUGGAGCUUAACAGGCAGCAUUCAACAAGCAGUUUUUCCUUCGGAUGCAGUUAUCUACAGAAACAAAAAUGAUGUGUGACUCGUUAGUAAAUUUGAUCUAAAUCACUAAAUGAGCUGAAUAGGUAAGAUUCUGUUUAUUUAGUGAAAAGAAUGCGAGCGUACAGUGUGUUUUCGACCCUCCUAGGGGCUCUAACCCGUGCUUUAUGUAUUACUCCCUCUGUUCCUAAAUAUUUGUCUUAUUUUAGUUUACACUGCUAACUGCAUGCUGCCGACUAUGCUAGCUGCUUCUGCUUUUUUAGAAACAACAUGCUGCUGCUUUUAUUUGUGGUCGUCACUGGUACUGCUUCUGCUUCUCUUUUGUUUUGUUGUCUUCUUUCUUUUGACUUCAUUCUUUGCCUCGCGAGAAUAACAAUUAGCAUCUUCAAUCGGGCAGUUAACUUGUUCUUAACUGUGGCAGUCCCCGAAGUUAGCUAUUUUUUGGCCCCGUAGUUAGCAUGACCGAGGUGGAAAAAAUAUAAAAAAUAUUAGUACCUUCAGUCUGGCAGUUAAAUGGUUGCUGCAGUUGCAACAGUUAGCUCUUUCAGUGUCGGCAGUUAGCUUGACCCAGGGAAAAAACGAAAGAAAAAAAAAUAG
rnacentral:lncRNA from 1 species